UUCGCGCUGGAUUGCGUGUUCGUUUCUCUUUUUAACAUCUGUGAUUUUACUUUUGUACUUCUAUAUAAAUGAAGAUAUUUCUUACGUCUGGCUGCUUUUCUUUCCUCAAAACGCUUCUUGAGGUUAUGGUCGUGUGUUCGAUGUAUCUGUCUUGUCAAACGAGAGAAAACUUCUGCUUGGCAGCUAAGAAGAAAUUAUAGCUACUUCCGCCAGGAUGCCGACAGAAUAUGCAGUCACGCACAAAAUGCCAGCUUCCAAAUCCUGUUUCCUGACUGGGUGAAAAUGAUCAAACUUUAAACCUCUAUAACUUUUUAAAAACAUUUUUCUGGAAAAAAAUGAAAUAACUCCAGCAAUUCAGUUUGGGUGAUAUGAGGAUGCAGCUUAUGAAGAUAGAAGAUGCAGCCUUUGAAGAUAGAGGGUGCGUGCAUUGUUCUGAGUCUUUUGAAGGUUAUGAUUUAUCGAGGAGAGACUGGGACAUAGGCAGAACUAGUAUAAUCAAUUUUGGAUCGAAUGUAUCGUUUGCAAACUAAUGUCGUUGUUUCCUAGUGAUGGCUAAACAUAGUGCUUGUGAAUAUGCCAUUAUACCUUCUUUGCAGUAUCUUCUAUAUGUGCUGUGAAUGUUACAGAGAUGUUUUAUGUACUGUGGUGUAUAUUUAUGUAGUUGAGUGUGAUGUCAGUUGUGUAUGAUAUUGUCAUGUGUUGCAGCUAAAGUUUGUAUUUUGGAGCCGAGUCCCUAAAGAAUUGAAGGGAUUGAAGCAGAUUUGGA